rnacentral:rRNA from 1 species
UACGGAGGGUGCAAGCGUUAUCCGGAUUUACUGGGUUUAAAGGGUGUGUAGGCGGGUUUUUAAGUCAGUUGUGAAAUCUCCGGGCUCAACCCGGAAACUGCCAUUGAUACUAUAGGUCUUGAAUAUUGUGGAGGUGGGCGGAAUGUGUCAUGUAGCGGUGAAAUGCUUAGAGAUGACACAGAACACCGAUUGCGAAGGCAGCUCACUACGCAGUUAUUGACGCUGAGGCACGAAAGCGUGGGGAUCAAACAGG